rnacentral:ncRNA from 2 species
AGUCACAGAAGAGGUCGCUGAGCUCAUCAGUAGCCAGGUGGAGGCGUUGCGGCGCCGGUGAAACCUGGCGAAAGGGUGGUCAGCCGAAACGUCCAGGAGCCGCUGAGCCUGGGGGUUGGGACUGGGUUCAACAAAUCCAGGACUGUCGCAGCGGAUGCGCUGCGGAGCGCUAUGGACGGU